CCCUUAAAUAAUUGGAUUAUCUGUUAAUAGUUCAUGAAACUAAUUUAAUAAUUCAUUUCUGAAUUCAGUUCAUUUCUUAUAACAUAACUGAUGUACAAGUUAACCUGUUUUUGAAACAUAAAUUGGACACCAGUGUUAUUUUAGUAAUACUAUUAUACUUUUUAUUAAUACCUCUAAUAUGUUUUUAUUUUUGGUUAUUUUUGUUGUGUGUGUUUGUCAUUUUUAUUAGUCUUUGUUUUUUUUUUAAAUAUGCCAGGUUUUUAUUCAUUUUUUCUUUAGGUUUAGGUGUUUUCGUACAUUAAGUUAAACUAAAUGAAAGUGAGAAACGUUGCCUUGGAAACUAGCUGAAAUAAAACAAGUUAUUUCAAGUAACAAAAUUAAUUCUAUAACAACCCUUUGGACACACAUAUCAGUUAUUUUGUUGAAAAAUUGAUUUUGGUUACUGGCGUGUAGCCAUUACUGAUCCGUCCUGCAGGAUACGAAUCAAAAUACAAUUUCAGCCUCUGUUAGCAGAUAAAGUCAUGAGUACAUAUUUUCAGCACCAGAACAACCUCUCAGAUCAUCUGACUUCUUAGCAGAUGAAACUGUCUGUUCUUCUGUACAGACUCGAAGGGUUAAAUCAUAUACAUUAACCAGCCAGUGUUUGUGUGCAUGUAAAGAACACACAGUUCCAUAGAUUAUCAUGUCAUGCGCUUCAUGCAACCGUUUAACCUUUACCAAGAGGUCAAGCUGUGUUUGAAGAUGCUUCCUUGUGCUGAUGGGGCACAUUUUUCCAAAUAUUACCUUGACCCGGGACAUGGGACCUGUUUUCUCUCUGGGUCAAAGCGGGUCAUAAACGAAACUAAGCAAAUUUGCUGUCGGUUCACAUUACAGGAACAUGGGUUAAAACGUACAGAUGGGUUAAAUUGAUCCAUUUCUGUUCCGGGCAUUUGAACACGAGUUAAUGGAAAUAGCAGUUGAUGCACAAAAACUUAAUAAUAUAUAUAUAUAGAAUGCCUGUAUUAUGAUUCCUGAUUCCUGUCCUUAUUUGUGUAUAUAUGUAUGUGUGUGUUUGCAUAUUUUCUGAAUUGGUCUGUAUCAGCAGAUAAUAUCAGCCUUAAUAUUGUUCUAUGCCAUGUUUCAGAAGUAUUGUAAUUUUAAUAUUUGAAUGUUUGUGAAACACUUUUUCUUUGUUUUACAGAAAGACUGUAUGACAGCAUAAGUGAACAUUUUUCCUUUGGCUGUUAAAGAAUAACUAAAUGCGAGUUCUCCAUACGUUCAUGACCUCGUAUGUCGACAUGAUCCCUGUCCUUAUUUGUCCUCGUCCUUCUAGGAGGAGAAGUUAACGACACUCAAACAUUCAAGUGAAAAGGCAAACCUAACCUUAACCCGAGUGAAGAGGGCGGGUCAGGGUUUUUUCCCUCUCUUUGCGCAGGCAUUCUGGGUGAACGACCCUGUAUUAUUGACUACAGUACAAAAGCACACGUUGAUUCACCUAAAAUGAAGCGAGAGCCGGCGGACGAUCAGAUGAAGGGAAAGCGAAUAUUGCGCCACAUGUAGGGGAACAGCCAAAAACCUGUGUGUGUGAAGAGCAAACCCACGCUUGUUCGAACAUCAAUAUUAAUGUAUGGAAAGGAGAGAACAUGGAAAAGGAGGCAGCUCUGGGAAUACAGUCUUGACACAUCCAGAUCUGGUCUGAUCCAGGUUUGUUCUCCUCAGCGCCGUCCUCAGCUGAACUCGGGCAGCCUGUCAGACGGAGGAGGGGGUUUCAGGAGGAGCAGGAAACCGCGCGGCAUGGAAGGAUGGAGGGAGGCACUACGCUUCACCCAGCAUGGGGUUGCUUAUCUGUGGCCGACUGAGCGCUAGCGCCUCCCUGCUGAGAAACCCUGGAGACAGAGGUCUUUCUGUGUCUGAAAUGAUACAGAGGAAAUCAAUCAGAGAAUGUAACCUCAGACUCUAUACUGAUGGCCCCUCGUAUCUGAUGUUGAAAAUAUUUCCCAUCUGUUUUGCAUUACUGCCAGUGUCCCAUAGUUUCACUGGAUCACAUGUUAAAUACUAAAGCAUCUUGUCUUGGGACUCAGAUGUGACUGACAGUCGAGCGUCUCCUCUGAAUUACCCUUCGUCAGCAGCACUGCUAAAACAAACAAAAGCACUAGUUUGUGUUCUGAUGGGUUUCACCUUACUUUAACUUACAGUUCUCUGAUUUUCAUCUCUUAGCAAAGAAUGGAAUUAAUUCAGCAAACAGUGGAAUGCAUGUGAGAAUAUUUCAAAAUUAUAUAAAUUAAAACAGUGUUUAAUUAGCUCUGUUUUCAUUAACAUGCAUGCUUCAGAUUUGUGUGAUGUUAAACACUUCAAUUCUUUUGCAUUAAUAUAUCUUUUUUUAUACACUAAAAAAUAUUGGGUUACUUUUUUCUACCCAAGUCCUGGGUUGAACCUUUUGGGUAAUUUUUUGGGGUUAUUUUUCCAGUGUAGUCAGACGUAACAACUCAGCGUUUGGGUGGUUGUUGUGUUACCCAGAUCCUGGGUCAGACUUAACAACCCAGCUUUUGGGUAGCUUUUGUGUUACCCAGCUCCUGGGUCAGACUUA